CGGGAAGAGCUCAAAUUUAAAAUCUAGCGUCCUUCGGGCGUUCGAGUUGUAAUCUACAGAAGUGUUUUCCGUACUGGACCGUGUCCAAGUCCCUUGGAAUAGGGUAUCAAAGAGGGUGACAAUCCCGUACUUGACACGACGACCAGUGCUCUGUGAUACAUUUUCUAC
rnacentral:rRNA from 1 species